rnacentral:rRNA from 1 species
UACGUAGGGUGCGAGCGUUGUCCGGAUUUAUUGGGCAUAAAGAGCUCGUAGGCGGUUUGUCGCGUCGGCCGUGAAAUCUCCACGCUUAACGUGGAGCGUGCGGUCGAUACGGGCAGACUUGAGUUCGGUAGGGGAGACUGGAAUUCCUGGUGUAGCGGUGAAAUGCGCAGAUAUCAGGAGGAACACCGGUGGCGAAGGCGGGUCUCUGGGCCGAUACUGACGCUGAGGAGCGAAAGCGUGGGGAGCGAACAGG